rnacentral:misc_RNA from 1 species
GAUGAAGAACGUAGCGAAAUGCGAUACUUGGUGUGAAUUGCAGAAUCCCGUGAACCAUCGAGUCUUUGAACGCAAGUUGCGCCCGAAGCCAUUAGGCCGAGGGCACGCCUGCCUGGGUGUCACACAUCGUUACCCUCGCGCCAACGUCCAGUGUUGGGCACGGCGCAGGGCGUAUGCUGACCUCCCGCGAGCGGGGUCUCGUGGUUGGUUGAAAAUCGAGUUCGCGGUCGAGUGUGCCGUGAUGAAAUGGUGGAUGGGCGACGCCAGAGGCCAAUCCAAUCACGCGCGACUCUGUCCGACUUGGACUCCUGGACCCCUUGGGCGUCUCCGGACGCUCCCCAGCGAGACCUCAGGUCAGGCGGGGCUACCCGCUGAGUUUAAGCAUAUCAAUAAGCGGAGGA